GUAUCGUGUUAUUGAUAAUCUAUCAGAAUACAUGUCUGUAAGACCAUUCGCAAUAACAAUUACAAAGAUGUUGGAGUCCAUAACACAUAUCGUUAGACAAUUUAUAAUGCGACAUAUAAUAAAUGCUUUGCAAUUAAUCGAAGUUAAAUGCAUUAUCCAAAAACCUUCGAUAUGAUUAAAAUGUAUUGCAAUCAUAUUAUGAUGAUAGGUAUUAUGAGUGCAAGUUAUAUACAUAUAAUGCAAAAUUUUCAAGAUAUCAUAAUAUGUCCGUGUUUUGAGUAGCAUAUGAGCCUGCAUCUGUGUCUAUUUUUGUCAUCAUGUUUUAAAAAAUAUGAGUACAAUAUGAGUAAAGUACACACGCGCACUAACAAUCGCAUAUUAGUAUAUAAUAUAUACAAUUGUAAACAUAUUGAACACUGUGAGAUUUUUUUAGAUAACAAUUCUUUUAGAUAACAAUAUGUAUAAUCUACAAUUUUUUAUAAUUUAACGUGGUUAAGUGUUUAUUGAGACAUUUA